rnacentral:rRNA from 1 species
GGACUACCAGGGUAUCUAAUCCUGUUCGCUCCCCACGCUUUCGUGCCUCAACGUCAGGUAUGAGCCAAGAAGCUGCCUUCGCCAUCGGUGUUCCUCCCGAGAUCCACGCAUUUUACCGCUACUCCGGGAAUUCCACUUCUCUCUCUCACCCUCUAGUUUGCCAGUUUUCAUUGCAAUACUCCAGUUAGGCCGGAGCCUUUAACAACGAACUUAACGAACCGUCUACGCACCCUUUACGCCCAGUGAUUCCGAAUAACGUUUGCACCCUUCGUAUUACCGCGGCUGCUGGCAC